rnacentral:rRNA from 1 species
UACGUAGGGUGCAAGCGUUUGUCCGGAAUUAUUGGGCGUAAAGAGCUCGUAGGCGGUUUGUCGCGUCUGCUGUGAAAACUCAGGGCUUAACCCUGAGCCUGCAGUGGGUACGGGCAGACUAGAGUGUGGUAGGGGAGAUCGGAAUUCCUGGUGUAGCGGUGGAAUGCGCAGAUAGUCAGGAGGAACAGCCGGUGGCGAAGGCGGAUCUCUGGGCCAUAACUGACGCUGAGGAGCGAAAGCAUGGGGAGCGAACAGG